rnacentral:lncRNA from 1 species
GGGGGUUGAAAAGGUUUUGCAAAAACCAAAGAACUCAAUAAAGACACAUGUGCAAACAAACUAAUUUAAACUAGCAUGGUAAUUAAACUAACACUAUUAAAAGCCUUAGACAACAUUUAAACAUCAAACACUAUUACAAUCUGAUUAACAAACACAGCUAAAUGAAAAUUAACAAAGGAAUUUAAAAGUCCAAUUAGCCAAA